UGCCAGCAGCCGCGGUAACACGAACUGCGCGAACGUUAUUCGGAAUCACUGGGCUUAAAGCGUGCGUAGGCGGCUUGGUAGGUGUGAUGUGAAAGCCCACGGCUCAACCGUGGAAUUGCGUCGCAAACCCCCAAGCUUGAGGAAGACAGGGGUGUUGGGAACUUAUGGUGGAGCGGUGAAAUGCGUUGAUAUCAUAGGGAACACCGGUGGCGAAGGCGCAACACUGGGUCUCUUCUGACGCUGAGGCACGAAAGCUAGGGUAGCGAACGGGAUUAGAUA
rnacentral:rRNA from 1 species